CAUGCAAGUCGAGCGGAAAGGCCCUUCGGGGUACUCGAGCGGCGAACGGGUGAGUAACACGUGAGCAACCUGCCCCAAGCUUUGGGAUAACCCUCGGAAACGGGGGCUAAUACCGAAUAGGACUGCUGGCCGCAUGGCUGGUGGUGGAAAGUUUUUCGGCUUGGGAUGGGCUCGCGGCCUAUCAGCUUGUUGGUGGGGUGAUGGCCUACCAAGGCGACGACGGGUAGCCGGCCUGAGAGGGCGACCGGCCACACUGGGACUGAGACACGGCCCAGACUCCUACGGGAGGCAGCAGUGGGGAAUAUUGCACAAUGGGCGGAAGCCUGAUGCAGCGACGCCGCGUGAGGGAUGACGGCCUUCGGGUUGUAAACCUCUUUCAGCAGGGACGAAGCGAGAGUGACGGUACCUGCAGAAGAAGCACCGGCCAACUACGUGCCAGCAGCCGCGGUAAGACGUAGGGUGCGAGCGUUGUCCGGAUUUAUUGGGCGUAAAGAGCUCGUAGGCGGCUUGUCGCGUCGACCGUGAAAACUUGGGGCUCAACCCCAAGCCUGCGGUCGAUACGGGCAGGCUAGAGUUCGGUAGGGGAGACUGGAAUUCCUGGUGUAGCGGUGAAAUGCGCAGAUAUCAGGAGGAACACCGGUGGCGAAGGCGGGUCUCUGGGCCGAUACUGACGCUGAGGAGCGAAAGCGUGGGGAGCGAACAGGAUUAGAUACCCUGGUAGUCCACGCUGUAAACGUUGGGCGCUAGGU
rnacentral:rRNA from 1 species